rnacentral:lncRNA from 1 species
UCCUAAGGUGCUCCGACUAUGGCAGCAAUAACUUUUGAGCUGUGGAUCAAACCAAACGUGGGAGACUGUGUGGAAUCAGUUUUCUGCUGUUGAAGCCAAUGACUUUCAUAGGUGUUUCCUGAAGCAGGUAAAUAACAACGUUAACGUUCCUUUCCAUUUCCAUGGCUAAUGGAAACAAGAUAAUAAUGUUUGGGUGGUGCUGUGGCCAUGUUGGCCAAA